rnacentral:tRNA from 1 species
AGUUAGUCAUAUAUGUAUGAGAAUUAGUAAUAAUGAUUCAUCAUUUGGAUAUUAUGGAUUAAUUU